rnacentral:rRNA from 1 species
UACACUCCUGCGGGAGGCAGCAGUGGGGAAUAUUGGACAAUGGGCGCAAGCCUGAUCCAGCCAUGCCGCGUGAGUGAUGAAGGCCCUAGGGUUGUAAAGCUCUUUCACCGGUGAAGAUAAUGACGGUAACCGGAGAAGAAGCCCCGGCUAACUUCGUGCCAGCAGCCGCGGUAAUACGAAGGGGGCUAGCGUUGUUCGGAUUUACUGGGCGUAAAGCGCACGUAGGCGGACUAUUAAGUCAGGGGUGAAAUCCCGGGGCUCAACCCCGGAACUGCCUUUGAUACUGGUAGUCUUGAGUUCGAGAGAGGUGAGUGGAAUUCCGAGUGUAGAGGUGAAAUUCGUAGAUAUUCGGAGGAACACCAGUGGCGAAGGCGGCUCACUGGCUCGAUACUGACGCUGAGGUGCGAAAGCGUGGGGAGCAAACAGGAUUAGAAACCCUUGUAGUCCCAUGA